rnacentral:rRNA from 1 species
UACGAAGGGGGCUAGCGUUGCUCGGAUUUACUGGGCGUAAAGGGCGCGUAGGCGGUCAUUUCAGUCAGGGGUGAAAUCCCAGAGCUCAACUCUGGAACUGCCUUUGAUACUGGGUGUCUUGAGUGUGAGAGAGGUAUGUGGAACUCCGAGUGUAGAGGUGAAAUUCGUAGAUAUUCGGAAGAACACCAGUGGCGAAGGCGACAUACUGGCUCAUUACUGACGCUGAGGCUCGAAAGCGUGGGGAGCAAACAGG